rnacentral:rRNA from 1 species
AGAGUUUGAUCCUGGCUCAGGACGAACGCUGGCGGCGUGCCUAAUACAUGCAAGUAGAACGCUGAAGGAGGAGCUUGCUUCUCUGGAUGAGUUGCGAACGGGUGAGUAACGCGUAGGUAACCUGCCUGGUAGCGGGGGAUAACUAUUGGAAACGAUAGCUAAUACUGCAUAACAGUAGAUGUUGCAUGACAUUUGCUUAAAAGGUGCAAUUGCAUCACUACCAGAUGGACCUGCGUUGUAUUAGCUAGUUGGUGGGGUAACGGCUCACCAAGGCGACGAUACAUAGCCGACCUGAGAGGGUGAUCGGCCACACUGGGACUGAGACACGGCCCAGACUCCUACGGGAGGCAGCAGUAGGGAAUCUUCGGCAAUGGACGGAAGUCUGACCGAGCAACGCCGCGUGAGUGAAGAAGGUUUUCGGAUCGUAAAGCUCUGUUGUAAGAGAAGAACGAGUGUGAGAGUGGAAAGUUCACACUGUGACGGUAUCUUACCAGAAAGGGACGGCUAACUACGUGCCAGCAGCCGCGGUAAUACGUAGGUCCCGAGCGUUGUCCGGAUUUAUUGGGCGUAAAGCGAGCGCAGGCGGUUAGAUAAGUCUGAAGUUAAAGGCUGUGGCUUAACCAUAGUACGCUUUGGAAACUGUUUAACUUGAGUGCAAGAGGGGAGAGUGGAAUUCCAUGUGUAGCGGUGAAAUGCGUAGAUAUAUGGAGGAACACCGGUGGCGAAAGCGGCUCUCUGGCUUGUAACUGACGCUGAGGCUCGAAAGCGUGGGGAGCAAACAAGAUUAGAUACCCUGGUAGUCCACGCCGUAAA